rnacentral:rRNA from 1 species
UACGAAGGGGGCUAGCGUUGUUCGGAAUUACUGGGCGUAAAGCGCACGUAGGCGGAUACUUAAGUCAGGGGUGAAAUCCCGAGGCUCAACCUCGGAACUGCCUUUGAUACUGGGUAUCUCGAGUCCGGAAGAGGUGAGUGGAAUUCCGAGUGUAGAGGUGAAAUUCGUAGAUAUUCGGAAGAACACCAGUGGCGAAGGCGACUCACUGGACACGAUUGACGCUGAGGUGCGAAAGCGUGGGGAGCAAACAGG